rnacentral:rRNA from 1 species
GACGAACGCUGGCGGCGUGCCUAAUACAUGCAAGUAGAACGCACAGUUUAUACCGUAGCUUGCUCCACCAUAGACUGUGAGUUGCGAACGGGUGAGUAACGCGUAGGUAACCUGCCUGGUAGCGGGGGAUAACUAUUGGAAACGAUAGCUAAUACCGCAUAAUAUUAAUUAUUUCAUGAUAAUUAAUUGAAAGGUGCAAUUGCACCACUACCAGAUGGACCUGCGUUGUAUUAGCUAGUAGGUGAGGUAACGGCUCACCUAGGCGACGAUACAUAGCCGACCUGAGAGGGGGAUCGGCCACACUGGGACUGAGACACGGCCCAGACUCCUACGGGAGGCAGCAGGAGGGAAUCUUCGGAAAUGGACGAAAGUCUGAACGAGCAAAGCCGCGGGAGUGAAGAAGGUUUUCGGAUCGUAAAGCUCUGUUGGAAGAGAAGAACGGGUGUGAGAGUGGAAAGUUCACAAUGUGACGGUAUCUUACCAGAAAGGGACGGCUAACUACGUG